GGGCGCGUGGUGGAAUGGCAGACACGCUGGAUUUAGGUUCCAGUUCGCAAGAGUGCGGGUUCAAGUCCCGCCGCGCCCACCA
rnacentral:tRNA from 1 species